GACGUAGGGCGCGAGCGUUGUCCGGAUUUAUUGGGCGUAAAGAGCUCGUAGGCGGCUUGUCGCGUCGACUGUGAAAACCCGCGGCUCAACUGCGGGCCUGCAGCCGAUACGGGCAGGCUAGAGUUCGGUAGGGGAGACUGGAAUUCCUGGUGUAGCGGUGAAAUGCGCAGAUAUCAGGAAGAACACCAAUGGCGAAGGCAGCUCUCUGGGACGGUACUGGACGCUGAGACGCGAAAAGCGUGGGGAGCGAACAGG
rnacentral:rRNA from 1 species